AAAUUGAAGAGUUUGAUCAUGGCUCAGAUUGAACGCUGGCGGCAGGCCUAACACAUGCAAGUCGAACGGUAACAGGAAGAAGCUUGCUUCUUUGCUGACGAGUGGCGGACGGGUGAGUAAUGUCUGGGAAACUGCCUGAUGGAGGGGGAUAACUACUGGAAACGGUAGCUAAUACCGCAUAAUGUCGCAAGACCAAAGAGGGGGACC
rnacentral:rRNA from 1 species